rnacentral:tRNA from 1 species
GCCCCCGUAGCUCAGGAGGAUAGAGCACAGGAUUCCUAAUCCUGGGGCCGCAGGUUCGAAUCCUGCCGGGGGCA